rnacentral:rRNA from 1 species
UGUUCAGGGGUAAACCUGUGGUUCCCGAAAGUUCGAACGGGGAGAUUCAAUUGCCUCGCCGGUUAUGACCAUUUAACAGUGAUGUGUUUAUGAUAUAUAUUUGAGACAUUAUAUGGCGGUUGCGGGUUUAUUCUCGUAGCUGUUUCUGUAUAGUGCUCCACUGUUUUAUGAUAUAUAGUUUAUAGCCGGAGGCGUGCACUUCUCCCCUUGUAGGACGUCGUGACCCAUUGGAUUAUGUUGUCUAAGGCUUAUAAUGGAGACCGUGGCAUUAAGUUUCGGCUUUAAUGACCCGGACUUAUAGUGUCCCGACAUCUAUCCGAUGGUAUAAUUAUGAUGAUAGAUCGCUAAUGAGCGUUCAGAUCCAUAACAAAUGCUUUAUUAUGAGAAAUAGUGGAAAUCGGAUUUAAUGCCGAUUCUACACAUAUGGUAUUGUUAGUUGUGGUAUUCUCGAACCGUUCUUUAUAUAUCAUCAGUCAACGGCGUUUAUGUUUUGGGUAAUUACAGGACCCGUCUUGAAACACGGACCAAGGAGUCUAGCAUGUGCGCAAGUCAUUGGGACUUUGUGAAACCUAAAGGCGUAAUGAAAGUGAAAUAUUUGUGAAUUUUCGUAAUUCACUGAAUUUAAGGGAAGAUGGGUAACGUAAUUUAUGUUACCUCGCAUUCCCGGGGCGUCGCGUACUUAUUGCAAGUUGCGGCGCACCAAGAGCGUACACGCUGGGACCCGAAAGAUGGUGAACUAUGCCUGGUCAGGAUGAAGUCAGGGGAAACCCUGAUGGAGGUCCGUAGCGAUUCUGACGUGCAAAUCGAUCGUAUGAACUGGGUAUAGGGGCGAAAG